rnacentral:sRNA from 12 species
AGGAGGAAAUCCCCAAAUGAGGCACAGCAUCAUUUUUAUAUGGGACCGACGAACUGCCGCUGAACAGAGUGAGGGAGGCUACCCCAUAA